rnacentral:pre_miRNA from 11 species
UCCCCGAGAAUUUGGGUGGUCGCAAAUCCCAGAUGAGCUUCCAACUGAAAGACCUCCAGAUUGGGAAGACCCUCACUCAAGUCUCAGGAUAAGUUGACACCCCAAUAAUUCAAGAGGGACU